AGGGAAUUUUCGGCAAUGGGGGAAACCCUGACCGAGCAACGCCGCGUGAAGGAAGAAGUAAUUCGUUAUGUAAACUUCUGUCAUAGAGGAAGAACGGUGGAUAUAGGGAAUGAUAUCCAAGUGACGGUACUCUAUAAGAAAGCCACGGCUAACUACGUGCCAGCAGCCGCGGUAAAACGUAGGGUGCAAGCGUUGUCCGGAAUUACUGGGUGUAAAGGGAGCGCAGGCGGGAAGACAAGUUGGAAGUGAAAACCAUGGGCUCAACCCAUGAAUUGCUUUCAAAACUGUUUUUCUUGAGUAGUGCAGAGGUAGAUGGAAUUCCCGGUGUAGCGGUGGAAUGCGUAGAUAUCGGGAGGAACACCAGUGGCGAAGGCGGUCUACUGGGCACCAACUGACGCUGAGGCUCGAAAGCAUGGGUAGCAAACAGGAUUAGAUACCCUGGUAGUCCAUGCCGUAAACGAUGAUUACUAGGUGUUGGGGGAUUGACCCCCUCAGUGCCGCAGUUAACACAAUAAGUAAUCCACCUGGGGAGUACGACCGCAAGGUUGAAACUCAAAGGAAUUGACGGGGGCCCGCACAAGCAGUGGAGUAUGUGGUUUAAUUCGAAGCAACGCGAAGAACCUUACCAGGUCUUGACAUCCGAUGCAUAGCACAGAGAUGUGUGAAAUCCUUCGGGACAUCGAGACAGGUGGUGCAUGGUUGUCGUCAGCUCGUGUCGUGAGAUGUUGGGUUAAGUCCCGCAACGAGCGCAACCCUUAUUGCCAGUUACUACGUUAAGAGGACUCUGGCGAGACUGCCGUUGACAAAACGGAGGAAGGUGGGGAUGACGUCAAAUCAUCAUGCCCUUUAUGACCUGGGCUACACACGUACUACAAUGGCGUUAAACAAAGAGAAGCAAGACCGCGAGGUGGAGCAAAACUCAAAAACAACGUCUCAGUUCAGAUUGCAGGCUGCAACUCGCCUGCAUGAAGUCGGAAUUGCUAGUAAUCGCGGAUCAGCAUGCCGCGGUGAAUACGUUCCC
rnacentral:rRNA from 1 species